rnacentral:rRNA from 1 species
CCUACGGGGGGCAGCAGUGGGGAAUAUUGGACAAUGGGCGAAAGCCUGAUCCAGCCAUGCCGCGUGUGUGAAGAAGGCCUUCGGGUUGUAAAGCACUUUCAGUGGGGAAGAAAGCCUUGGGGCUAAUACCCUCGAGGAAGGACAUCACCCACAGAAGAAGCACCGGCUAACUCCGUGCCAGCAGCCGCGGUAAUACGGAGGGUGCGAGCGUUAAUCGGAAUUACUGGGCGUAAAGCGCGCGUAGGCGGUCUGAUAAGCCGGUUGUGAAAGCCCCGGGCUCAACCUGGGAACGGCAUCCGGAACUGUCAGGCUAGAGUGCAGGAGAGGAAGGUAGAAUUCCCGGUGGAGCGGUGAAAUGCGUAGAGAUCGGGAGGAAUACCAGUGGCGAAGGCGGCCUUCUGGACUGACACUGACGCUGAGGUGCGAAAGCGUGGGUAGCAAACAGGAUUAGAUACCCCAGUAGUC